rnacentral:rRNA from 1 species
UACGGAGGAUGCGAGCGUUAUCCGGAUUUAUUGGGUUUAAAGGGUGCGUAGGCGGCGAGUUAAGUCAGCGGUAAAAGCCCGGGGCUCAACCCCGGCCCGCCGUUGAAACUGGCUGGCUUGAGUUGGGGAAAGGCAGGCGGAAUGCGCGGUGUAGCGGUGAAAUGCAUAGAUAUCAGGAGGAACACCGGCGGCGAAGGCGGCCUGCUGGACCGUAACUGACGUUGAGGCUCGAAAGCGUGGGGAGCAAACAGG